UGUCAUUGUUAUUGUUUUUCUCUACUAAGAUAUUCUUUCUUUUGGUCAACAUAAUCCAUCUUAGAUAUUUUCCCAAGCAUCCUCACAUUGUACUGCAAGGGUCUGUUGUCAACUGGACAAGCUGUUGCAUGCUUUGUGGUUGGGGUGAUUUGAAACUUUUGUAUCUUGGUUUAAGACUUUGGUCUAUUAAUCCAUGUAUUUUCACUCAAAAAAAGGAGAAAAAACAAACAAAUAAAUUGAACAAGAAUAAGAGGAAGCAUAAAAGGGCCUAAUCUUUUAUGAAAAAGCAUAGCUAUGAAUAGUGAUUUUUUUUUAAGCUUAUAU
rnacentral:lncRNA from 1 species